GUAACACGUGGGUAACCUGCCUGUAAGACUGGGAUAACUCCGGGAAACCGGGGCUAAUACCGGAUGCUUGAUUGAACCGCAUGGUUCAAUUAUAAAAGGUGGCUUUUAGCUACCACUUACAGAUGGACCCGCGGCGCAUUAGCUAGUUGGUGAGGUAACGGCUCACCAAGGCGACGAUGCGUAGCCGACCUGAGAGGGUGAUCGGCCACACUGGGACUGAGACACGGCCCAGACUCCUACGGGAGGCAGCAGUAGGGAAUCUUCCGCAAUGGACGAAAGUCUGACGGAGCAACGCCGCGUGAGUGAUGAAGGUUUUCGGAUCGUAAAACUCUGUUGUUAGGGAAGAACAAGUACCGUUCGAAUAGGGCGGUACCUUGACGGUACCUAACCAGAAAGCCACGGCUAACUACGUGCCAGCAGCCGCGGUAAUACGUAGGUGGCAAGCGUUGUCCGGAAUUAUUGGGCGUAAAGCGCGCGCAGGCGGUUUCUUAAGUCUGAUGUGAAAGCCCCCGGCUCAACCGGGGAGGGUCAUUGGAAACUGGGGAACUUGAGUGCAGAAGAGGAGAGUGGAAUUCCACGUGUAGCGGUGAAAUGCGUAGAGAUGUGGAGGAACACCAGUGGCGAAGGCGACUCUCUGGUCUGUAACUGACGCUGAGGCGCGAAAGCGUGGGGAGCGAACAGGAUUAGAUACCCUGGUAGUCCACGCCGUAAACGAUGAGUGCUAAGUGUUAGAGGGUUUCCGCCCUUUAGUGCUGCAGCAAACGCAUAAGC
rnacentral:rRNA from 1 species